AUUGAACGCUGGCGGCAUGCCUUACACAUGCAAGUCGAACGGCAGCACGGGUGCUUGCACCUGGUGGCGAUUGGCGAACGGGUGAGUAAUACAUCGGAACAUGUCCUGUAGUGGGGGAUAGCCCGGCGAAAGCCGGAUUAAUACCGCAUACGAUCCACGGAUGAAAGCGGGGGACCUUCGGGCCUCGCGCUAUAGGGUUGGCCGAUGGCUGAUUAGCUAGUUGGUGGGGUAAAGGCCUACCAAGGCGACGAUCAGUAGCUGGUCUGAGAGGACGACCAGCCACACUGGGACUGAGACACGGCCCAGACUCCUACGGGAGGCAGCAGUGGGGAAUUUUGGACAAUGGGCGAAAGCCUGAUCCAGCAAUGCCGCGUGUGUGAAGAAGGCCUUCGGGUUGUAAAGCACUUUUGUCCGGAAAGAAAUCCUUGGCUCUAAUACAGUCGGGGGAUGACGGUACCGGAAGAAUAAGCACCGGCUAACUACGUG
rnacentral:rRNA from 1 species